AUACACUCUUAAACCUUUCCUUCUCCAGCUAUUUCUAAUUAGACAUUCUUGGCAGGUGAAUGGCGUGGGCGUGGAAAGAAGGCUCGGAAGUGAUACAGAUUCGGAAGCGGCACGGGCACGAAGAAUGCUCGAUUUGCGGGCAAGAUGCGCAACCUCUCGUGGCAAUACUAUAAGGAAGCCGAUCAACUCUUCGAUGAUUGAUGAGAACAUGGAUGACAUACUGGCAAAUGAGAACUCAACCUCAACAGUAUCUCAUCCAACCGGUGGCCGAUGUUUAAGGUAAUCUUUGUAUUGAUUGUAUUCCUCAUGAUUUUCCUUUUUUUUUUGGGGGGGGCAUAACAUUAUAUCAAGAAUAACUAAAAAGAAGAAAUAGAAAGAAAGUGCCUUUUCAAAGGCCACGAUCAAGUCUCAUCCAACAUUUCAAAAAUUAUAUUUGCAGUUUUGCACUGCCUUGUACAU